rnacentral:rRNA from 2 species
GAAUUGAGGGGGGCUGCUCCUAGUACGAGAGGACCGGAGUGGACGCAUCACUGGUGUUCGGGUUGUCAUGCCAAUGGCACUGCCCGGUAGCUAAAUGCGGAAGAGAUAAGUGCUGAAAGCAUCUAAGCACGAAACUUGCCCCGAGAUGAGUUCUCCCUGAGACUAUAAGUCUCCUGAAGGAACGUUAAAGACGAUGACGUUGAUAGGCCGGGUGUGUAAGCGCAGCGAUGCGUUGAGCUAACCGGUACUAAUGAACCGUGAGGCUUAACCUUACAACGCCGAAG